CAGGGUGUAGCUCAGCUUGGUAGAGCGCUCGGCUUGGGACCGAGAGGGCGGGGGUUCGAGUCCCUCCACCUUGA
rnacentral:tRNA from 1 species